ensembl:misc_RNA Vault Vault RNA
AAAUUGAAACACUAGCCCAGCGGUUCCUUCGAGUCUGGCUUCCCAACCGCCCGGGCCGAUUGGUCCGGUGGUUCGAGACCCGCGGACACUCUCCAGUCCUUUU